GCUAAGAAAACACGUGCGUGGGUUGUACAAUAGUCAUAAGCAGAACUGGCACAUAAGAGUGUGCUGUUAUACAGAAAAUUGUUUUCUGAGAACUGUCUUUUGACGCGGGACUUCCAUCUUGCUUCUACGAACAAUGCUCGGCAGCGGUGCCUACAAGCCGUCUGCGCAUUUUAGUUGGUUUCACAUGACUCACAAUGAGACUUAGUUGCUUUCUUGUUCUUCUAGUAUGGGAGACCAACACGCACGAUAGCGCCGACGGUGUCUUGUUCUCAUCAAGGACCACGUAAGGUGUAUUCUGCCGCACGUCAUGGCUCUUCCACGCAAAAUGGGCGCACCUUCUCUAAACACGUAACAUGGACAAGUUCUCUCCGCUGCAGCGGGGGAGCUUAAGCAGCACGAGCUUGAUAUGGGCGAGUUGGUGUAACAUACUUUUGCGCUGUUUUUUUUUCUUCAAUGGAGCGUAAGGGUUGAUCCACUUCAGAGCUGAGAGCAGCACAAGCCGCAGCUUGCUAUCGAAGGCGAGGAAAGCAUUCGGCUUCUAUUUGCAAGGCACCGCUGAAGUGACCCCGAGUGGCCAAAGCCAGGGAAAAGCUAACGCUUGCGCCGCCGCUUCCGAAAUCAAAUUUACAGCGUACCAACUCACGGCGCCAUGAAGAAAUCUUGCAUCGCCAAGUAAAAAAUGCUACAGUGUCCCGCGGGAAACAGAGGCAAUCAAGGCGAUGUACCCAGCGACCGGAUUAUGAAAAAUGCUCACCUGUGAAAUUGGCUUAUUAUUUUGAUAUUAAAACAAGAAGCUGUAAGCAGUUUUUCUCUGGAGGUUGUGCAAAAAACAGCAACCGUUUUGCCACAGAGGGGGAGUGCCAGAACAUGUGCCUGGCGAGCAGCGAGCGACGACCAAUUUGUCACGUGUAUCCGAAUGCUCAACUGUGCCAAGGCCAGUCCUCAGUUAUGGGCCUUCGAUUACAUCCGGAACAUCUGCCGGCGAUAUAAGCUCGGUUAUUGCGCAGGAAGCGCGAACCACUUUCCAACGUGUGAGGCGUGCAUGGAAAGAUGCAGCAAUUUGGACGCAAACAGAUUUUGUCGUAUGAUGUAUGAGGUAAUACGAAAGAGGAGGAGAAGGCACGGAUGAUAACAACCUACACCGGUACCAACUUAAGGCAACUGCGUUGAUCUGCUUGUGAGAUAUAACUAGAUGCACGAAAUAACGUGUUUCAGCUCAUAGUG